rnacentral:rRNA from 1 species
CCUACGGGAGACAGCAGUGGGGAAUAUUGGGCAAUGGACGCAAGCCUGACCCAGCAACGCCGCGUGAAGGAAGAAGGCUUUCGGGUUGUAAACUCUUUUUAAGGGGGAAGAGCAGAAGACGGUACCCCUUGAAUAAGCCACGGCUCACAACGUGCCAGCAGCCACGGUAAUACGGAGGUGGCCAGCGUUGUCCGGAUUUGCUGGUUGUAAAGGGCGUGCAGCCGGAGAGACCAGUCAGAUGGGAACUCCACGGGCUUAACCCGCGUACUGAAGUUGAAACUGUUUCCCUUGAGUGUCGGAGAGGUAUGCGGAAUGCGUGGUGUAGCGGUGAAAUGCGUAGAUAUAAGGAAGAACACCAGUGGCGAAGGCGGAUUACUGGACGAUAACUGACGGUGAGGCGCGAAAGCGUGGGGAGCAAACAGGAUUAGAUACCCUGGUAGUC